rnacentral:rRNA from 1 species
UGGGGAAUUUUGGACAAUGGGCGAAAGCCUGAUCCAGCAAUGCCGCGUGUGUGAAGAAGGCCUUCGGGUUGUAAAGCACUUUUGUCCGGAAAGAAAUCCUUGGCUCUAAUACAGUCGGGGGAUGACGGUACCGGAAGAAUAAGCACCGGCUAACUACGUGCCAGCAGCCGCGGUAAUACGUAGGGUGCAAGCGUUAAUCGGAAUUACUGGGCGUAAAGCGUGCGCAGGCGGUUUGCUAAGACCGAUGUGAAAUCCCCGGGCUCAACCUGGGAACUGCAUGGUGACUGGCAGGCUAGAGUAUGGCAGAGGGGGGUAGAAUUCCACGUGUAGCAGUGAAAUGCGUAGAGAUGUGGAGGAAUACCGAUGGCGAAGGCAGCCCCCUGGGCCAAUACUGACGCUCAUGCACGAAAGCGUGGGGAGCAAACAGGAUUAGAUACCCUGGUAGUCCACGCCCUAAACGGUGUCAACUAGUUGUUGGGGAUUCAUUUCCUUAGUAACGUAGCUAACGCGUGAAGUUGACCGCCUGGGGAGUACGGUCGCAAGAUUAAAACUCAAAUGAAUUGACGGGGUCAUAGCUG